AGCGUGCGUAGGUGGUUUGUUAAGUCUGAUGUGAAAGCCCCGGGCUCAACCUGGGAACUGCCAUUGUGACUGCAAGGCUGGAGUACGGCAGAGGGGGAUGGAAUUCCGCGUGUAGCAGUGAAAUGCGUAGAUAUGCGGAGGAACACCGAUGGCGAAGGCAGUCCCCUGGGCCUGUACUGACGCUCAUGCACGAAAGCGUGGGGAGCAAACAG
rnacentral:rRNA from 1 species